GAGAAAUGUCCUGACUGAAAGCUUAACACCUUCUGGUGUUUUUAAGGUAUAACACCUUUUGUCUGAAUAAAAAUGGCUGUAGGACAAAACAAAAAGUAGGUGAACUGAACAAUAAAAUCUUCCCCGACCAAUAUAAGAAGUAAGGAGGAGGGAAAGGGAAAGACCACUUUAAACCUUUCUGGUUUAUUUUUUUCUUGGAAAAGCUGGAUUUUAACUAACAUAAAUUUUGUGGGAAGUGCCCACCAUCACUGAAUACUUAAAAGUAAAAUGUACAACCUCCGCUCCACCAGAUACUUGGUUAAGGUGGUGGGGCAGAGGGAUAAGGCGGGGAGCGAAAGGGGAGCAGGCUCCGUGAAGGCUUUGAACAUGAUGGAAAACAAGAGAGAGAUGUAAAGACAGGCCAAAGUGGUGGAAAUUUCUUGGGGGAGUCUGAGGGUGCAAUGAGGAGUGAGAACUUGCUGGGGCUGACGAGAGGGAUGGGCUGUUACGGGGCAGGUUUGCAGUGGUGCCAGGGGUGUGUUACGUGUGCUGUGCCUCAACUCACUUCUUCAGCAGCGAGCUGGAGACACACAGAACACCUGGCAGAAGCGGCGUCUGUAAAUCAUGUUUUAAAAAGAAUUUUCCACUUGGGAAGCCGCUAGGUGGCAUGUGAGGUGUAGCAGAAACGAAGCGCAGCAGCAGGAGGGAGAACAGGCUCCUCGGUGGUCAGGCACGGCUGGAGGGGUCAGCGCCGGCUCGGGCAUCGCGGCACAGGAGCCAGCUCCUUGCAGUAACUCCGUGUUCCAGCACGUCACAAAGGUGUGUAUGUCUACAAAGAGAGAGAAAACAGCUAAAUGAAUGGGGACUGACUUUCAUCAGCACUGUCCCUGCAGAGAGCUAUGUCCUUGCCUCCCUCCAGCUGACUCCAUGCCCAUGUGCACGACUGCCACAGGCUGCUCCUGCCUGCUUGUGGGAUGUUGUAACACCCUCACCUUAUGCCACCACUCCUCCAUGUGCCCUCAGAUGUGCUGCACAGCCCGGUACAGCCUAGGCAGCAGAUAGAGCCUGCCCAGAGAUGUCUGCCAGCCAGGGCAAUAUACAGACCCAGAGUGGGGCAGAUGUGGGGCUUUACUCAGCCCCUGUGCUCUCUGCUCUGAGGACAGGAAGAGCACUAGCCCACAGGCUGUGCCCCUCCUCCCCACGGAACCAUUCCUCUCACUUUCCUCCCACACACCAUGAAGACAUCAACAUUGUCCUACCACUGCUACUGUAUUUCCACAUCCAUUCUGGUAUGAACAAGCAACUGCUAGACAAAAUUAGCAGCUCAGUUGCUCUGGGACUCUUGACAUUUGACUGCAGUCAUUAACACAGGCAAAGCAGCAUGUCCACAGUGAGGAUAUCGCCAUGAUCUCCACCUGCAGCCCACUCUGGUUAGCAACAUCUUUGAAUGUACAAGAACAGUGCCAGGCCCUGCCAGGGUCUGGAAGAAAACAGUGCACUGCCAGGGCGUCCAUUUGCAGCCUGUGGUACCCUGCUGGGCUUGCUCCUGGGUGUGGUGAGGACUCGUUGAGGCAGGUUCUCUCUGGGGCACAGAAAGAAAGACUCUCAUGAGUCCCAGCCACAAUGGCUGCACAUUUGGCCCACACCAUUCCUCUUCCCUACAGGGUGUCCACCAGGCUGGGAUGGGGAUAUGGGAAUCAUCACAGGCAGUUCAAAAUGACAGAGAACAGCUAGGUGUUCCUCUGGCUUCAAAAGCUCCUCUACAUCCAUCCUGAGAAGUCUUCUGUUGGACGUCAAGGACCUUGCCCUCCUGGGCACCUUUCUGCUCAGCCUCUGCUGUGGGAGCAGGGUGCUCACAAGCUGUGGAGGCCACGAGGAUGUGGCUGGAGCAUGGGGGCCUCUUUGCUGGGGUACAUGGAAGGCUAUCCACUCUAAAGCUGCCUACAGCAUUAGUGGAGGCUGCUGUGCGGUGGCAUGCAGGAGGAAACAAGGAAGGGCCUCACUAUCACGCUGACCAGUAGCCUGGCCAGAACAGCUGCCAGUGAGGAAACCGUAGGGUCACUGGAAUGUAACCAGGGAUUUCGGCAGCCCCAGGCCAUGGGAUCCUUGGUUUGGGGGUCUGCAGGGCAGGGUCGAGCUGCAUUCAGAGGGCUGGAAUGGGGUCCUGGGUUGUGGGCAGGGCAGAUGGGAAAGAAUGAGCCCAUGAUGCCUUCCUGCUGCCCACCACAGAGGGAAUUCGUUGUUCUGCCCCGCUGAUGCCUUAAUUACUGACCUGCCCAUCUCCAAUAAUAUUGGAAGAACAGGUGAUCCACUGACAAAUAAUUAAAGGAAGGUAAAAGGAUUAGUAUUGCACAGCCUAGAUUUAUGAAAGAUAUUACAUUCUCAUUUUAGAAGUAAUGUUCGAUUGGUUGGAUACAGUUAGAUUCAUGUAGGGAAGCUUUGCUUGUAUUCUGACUGAGAUAAAAGAUAAGACAAAAUUGACAUUCAAUCUUUGUUUUUUUCAGGAGAGAUCCAAAAGAAAACAGUCAUUAUUGACAAUAUUGGGGGAAUUGGUAUAUUACUGGCACAAGCAAAUAACAUGUAUUUCAGUUUGGUAAAAUGAAAUAGAAUGUAUCUAGUCACAAAAAACCCACAAGUUGUGUUUUCCUGAGAAGGUGUUCUGUCUUGCAGAGCAGUAAUUCUGGAAGAGAUUAGGAUUUACUGAUAGAUAAUCAGCUGUAAUGAAAUUGCAAUAUGAUGUUGGGACCUUUAGAAUCAAUGCUGAUCUUGAAUGUAGUCCCCUGCUUGUCACUGAGCAGGACCUCUGUAAGGUUUGUUGCCUCCACACUUGGCAUGGACGCAGCUGGAAUGUGCUGUCCAGUCCUGGACUUCACAUUCCAAGAGGGAUAUAAAAAGAUCAAAGAAAGUUCAAUACAGUUCAACACAGACAAAUACUGCCUAAAGGCCUAAAGAACCUCUUACAGAAGAGAAAAAAAUCUACUUAUCUUCUCUAAAAUGUCUGUAAGACCCUGCCAAAGAGUUUUGGUGUUACAGGUAAAGAUAAAACAACCUUCUGUAUUUAGAGUUUAUAAGUAAAUUAAAGCAAGAAAUGUUAUAUAAUUAUUUUCACUAUGAGGGUAAUGUUUGUCAUAGAUUUGCCAUCCCUGGAGAAGUUUUUAGUCAAUUUUUUUCUGAAAGAUAUCCUCAAAUUCAACUGUAGUUACUGGAACUGAAUCAAGAACUAAUUUGGUAGAAUUAGGUGAGGACUCAGGCAAAUUAUCUUCACUGUUCUUCCUGGCCUGAUGUUUGAAGGUAAUCACACAGCUCAGGCCUGUGCAAAUCUGAAAAUCAAAGUUUGGCUUUAGCAUAUUUUCAUACCUUGCUGUACAAUGUUUAACAUCUCCGCAAAUGUUACAAAGGAAUGCAAUUUGUUCUAGUGGCUGUAGGGCAACCAAUGCACUCCUCCUCCCCUUUGGGGAGAUCCAGUGCUUGUGGUACCUACUGUGUCACAGCUGCUGGCUCUGUGGCUCUCAGUAUGUACCUGAGCAGCAGAACAGACUUCUACGGCAUAUUUAAGAUAUGCCAGAUGUAAACUGUAGAAUCGUAUUCCUUAUUUCCCUUUGGGAACCCUGUUGUAAUCUCCAAGCCUGUGUAGUGGAAUUGCAGAGGGCAUCAUGACUGGUCAGUUUGCAGGAAGCCAGCUGUGUGAAUAUCUGCCACUGCACUGUGAAGCUGGGAUGAAGGGCUAGCUGGCAAAUCUGGCUCUGUGUGAUGAGCUCCUUGCUCCUGCACAUGGCACCAGCUAUCAGUGCAGUCCCCAUUGCCAGUAGCCAAGGAACACUCACACUUUUACUUCAUCCCUUGUCAAUGUGGGUUGCAUCACACUCCCAUUUGAUUAUGUUAAAAGAAAUGUGAUGCUCUGAUCUUUGAAGCUUCUCAUGUGUUAGGAGUUUCUUUAAGGCAAAUCUUUGUCAUUGUCACCUGCUUCAAUCUUGGGUUGCCAAAUCAGUGUCUGUUGUACUUGCAGCCUUGUAUGUAACAGUUUACCUGGUAGACUGUAAACAAACAUUUCUUGAGAAGAUUGUGUGGCUCUGCACAUCACACACAGGGUCUGGCUGCAUUACUGUGUCCUUCCCAUGAGACCCUGGAAACUCCAGUACCACUGGAAUUUAAAAUAAUGCUGUGACUGUGUGUGUGUUUGUGUGUGUGUGUGUGUGUGUGUGUGUGUGUGUGUGUGUGUGUGUGUGUGUGUGUGUGUACACAUAGACAGAUACCCAUAUGUUUAUAGGGAGACCUGUAAAUAAAAAGUAUAUCUACUACAGAUGACAUAUAAUAUAUAUAACAUGUAAAUAAUGUAAUUAUGAAUGAUAAACUUUUAUAUGCACCCACAUCUAUGUGCAUGUGUGUCUGUAUGAAGAGAGUGAGAGCCUAUGAGUAUGAGGGUACAGCCACUGCACACAUGCCCAUCACUUUUUCUUAGUACUUUCAGCCUGACGUGAAUCCCGAGCUGCCAAAGGGCACCCAGCUGUUUCCUCAGGCAUGAAAGCUUCUCAUUCUGCCCAAUUCAAAGCUGUCAGUACCCCUAUGAGCUGCUUGAUCCUGUCCUUUCGAUGCACAGCAAUUUAGCCUGGAUAGACCCAUUUCUGAUGGAAUAGGAUAUUGAGAUUUCCUGAGACUAAAAACUAAUCUUGAGACUAGAUUUGCACAAGCAGUCCAGACAUAAGAACUUUCUCCUCUGCAAGGACUAUCUCUGCAAGCACUUCAAACCCACUUUUUCCUUUUAAUUAUUCCUUUGAGAAGACUAAGGCUUUGAAGAAUUUUAGACUGAAGAGCAGAAACUAAAAAUCUGCCAGUCUGUGUGACUGUGUUUAACAAAAUUCUCUAUUUUGACUUGGAAUGCUAAUUUAAAAGCAAGCAGCCAGCCAAGAGUACAAGGCAUUUCUGAUUAUUCUGUGCUGUUACAGACAAGAAGGUUCAGGAAUGAGAACAAACCAGAUGUCAUCACUAUUGCUUAAAACUCUUCUUUCAAAGGUCACAGAUAUUAGAAGUCUGGUUCAGUGAGAAAUGCUACCUGCUUCUACAGGCUUCUUGCUUCUUUACUGUAUCAUUAGGACUGUAUAUUCAAAUACAGCAGUAUUUCCUUUCCCAGCUCAGACCAUUUAAGCCUUGUAAGUAUACAUGUUUAUCCCAUGUCUUGUUUCAGAUUUCUUCACCACUUUUAGCAAGGUGCAAAAGUUGUUUCUGCAAUGCAAUUCUAUGAAAUCCAAGAAUUGUUCUUCCAAGCCUUUUAUACUGCAUUUGAAAAAAAACAACAGCUAUUAUAUCUGAACUGCUUCAGAAACCAGUCUUGGUUUAUUGACUACAUGAUAGCAAUAAAGUUGACAAAGCUUUACUUGACAAAAUAAAAAAUCUCUACAGCUUCAUCAGAUGCAGCCUCAAAAGCAGAGUUAAAAAUCAUGUCUUUGGGGGACAUCUGAUGCUUUGUUUUGUACCUUAUAACCACACCACAAAUUGUGUCUUCCAAGCACUUGACUUGUAUAAAGGCAGAAAAACAAGACAUACACAGCUGCACAAGUAAAAAGGCACCUGAGAUGGUUUUGUAAGUUCUCCUUGACUGGUCUUAAGAGGUUUGUGUAGUACAGGCUAUUUUUAACCAUCUCUUGCUGUGUAAGGAUGAACAGUGCAAGCACAGAGACGUAUCUUCUCUGCAAGACCUGUGCCUGCUGCGUAGGUGUACCUGCUGGAGAUGUCCUUUUGUCAGGCAGGCAUGAGGGAGGCAGAGGUAUUUUUAGUAUUCCUACAUAUAUAUUUUCUAAUCCACGAAGGACAGAAUUUUGGGACAAGGACUAUGUCAUCCAUUGAGUCACAACAAUUGCCUGUAGGACAGUGUAUUGUUUCCAGCCAGUGUUCAGCUUUCCAUCAGUUCUCAGCAGCUCAUUCCUUGGCUCUUAGUGAACACUCUGCCCCAGUAUUUCAUCAGAAAUGAUCCUCAGAUAUUCUCCCACUGCCAUGUCACAAGACUGCCCUCAGUUCUAGUGCCAGGGGCUCAGCCUUCCCGUUAAAGGUAUCACCAAAGUGAUAUUUCUGUGGUGUUCUGCCUUCCCUGUGUCUCCUCCAGCUUGGGGAAGAAGUCACCCCACAGCUGCAGCAGGUGUUCAGUGUGAGCCCCUCUGCUCAGCACUCCCUAAGAUGCAGACAAGGUUUGCUUGUUUACACUUUGGUGCUGUUCUCAAGGCUUUCUCCCCAGGCCAGCUCAGGCUCUGGAGAAGGAGAACAUCACACACAAACUGUCCCUAAUGACUGCCCCAUCAUCCUUCCCUCGCAGCCAGGGUGGUGCUGGGCUGAAAGUGAACAUAAGGUCCAGAGGAGGGUUUAAUGCACUGUCCCAAUGCCCAAUAACUGGAUUAAGCAGGGCAGUUAUCCUUCCACCCAUAGAUGUCCUACAACCAUUGUCCCUCCAGUCCCCGUCUCCCGAUAUUUUGACUCGGCCCAUCAAAUCUCUCCAGUGGAUGCUAAAUCCCACCCUGUUUUUUUGUUUCUUUACUUCCCAGACGAUGUUAUUGUGGGUGGAAAAUUAUAUUUUACCUCCCCUUCUGCCCUUCCAAGUUGGAUUUAUUUCCAUUUGCUCUUUUUGGUGGCCAAAUUGCAGUCCAGGGAUCCUUCUCCUCUCCCCCCUCAUCUUGCACCUGUCUUCAAAAUUAUUUCUUCUGAUUUAAGCCAUUCUUGAAGGCACUGAUUUUGUCUGCAAAGAAGAUUGCAACAGAGAUUUUUGCACAGCUUAUGUCAGAAUGUAAUUUAAAUAAUGGCUGCCUUUCCUUGGCACCAGGUGAUGCUUCAUGGGACUGAGCUUUCGAAUGCAGAACUUGGAAGGAUGAAAUAUAGCACUAACCUUUAAGGCUUCUCCAGAAACUCAAAACAUGGCACUGAUCAAAUGUCAAGAGCACUGCUCUUAGAUAUUUUAUCAGGGUUAUAUUAAUUGAAAUCCCAAGCACUUUGCUACAUAUGCUAAUCGACAAUGUAUCACUGAAUCAAAUCAUUAUCUAAUGAUUAUUACUUAUGCAUUAUUCUCCAGAUGCAUACUUUUGAAUGACAUUUAUUUGAAAAUAUAAUCAGGGAUAUGUGCAUGCCUGUAGUAUACAGCUUUGGACUCAGCCACUUCAGUGUGCAUAAACAGAAAAAUAGCUAAGUUGGAUUUAAAAGUACUUUGAAACGUUUCUCUUCUGAGAAUCAGGAGCCACAUUCAGGACCUGCUUCAAAGAAGUCCUCAAGACCAGGGUCAAAAGCCAGACUACUUUGGUACUGAGCCAUACUGAGCUUAGUAAGGUCAGGGAAGAGAUUGUAUGACAUACUUCUAGUCUGGGAAAACCAAACUUGAUCAGAAGGUAUCUGUAUUCCUGAAUGUUUGUAUCAAGUAUGACUACAUAAUCAGGUUAUCAGCCCUUGUGCAGUCCUAAAUUAGCAGAUCAUGUCUGUAUAUGCUGAUCUUAAGCUUGCACAAUUCUUUUGGCUUAAAGUGGCUACUUAAACGUAUGAAGUUAAACAAUCCUGUGAUUGUAGUCUUCACAGGAGUUUUGCAAGGCCUUUGUUCCAAAACUGGUUUAAUGCAAGUGGGUGCUUGAGCCCCAACUGGAUCUUGAACCUAUUCUGCAUGUUCACACUUUUGUUGUACAAUGUUUCCUACUGCCACAGGUAAGAGCACUGUUCACAUGAGCAAACCUAGGGAUAGAUUUCAUCUGGGAGAGUGUCAGGAAUUGAAAAAUGUGUUUACCUUGUGUAACACUGUCUUCAAAUAAACAUCAGUUGAAAAUGAAA